GCCGAAGGGAACCGAGCCCCCCCACCCGGGUUCUGAGAGCCCGCCGAGCUCAGCCGAAGAGGAACUGAAGCCGGGAGAUGCUCUGGCCGAAGUUAGCCGAAGAGGAACCGAGUGGAGCCGAAGAGUCCUGGAGUCCCGAGGAGGUGCUAGCGCUCCUGACAGGUGUCAUCUCCAGGCCUCAGGCUCUAGCCCCGAGCCUUUAGUGAAUCUUCCUUGCCUUGUCCCUUCUGUCUGAGUUGGGCUGCCUGGAUCUACAACUAGCACCCAAGCAACCCAAAAGCAAGAAGAAGAGAACUAAACCCGGGGAGCUUAGUCCCCUGACCUUGGCAAUGAAAAUGCUAAUAAUCGUCAGCCUUCCAGUAGCUGUGAAACACUGGCCCUUGGGCUUGGACCCUGGAACCAACCUGACCCCAACCUACAGCCUGGAGCACCUAGUCAAGCACAGUCAGGAUCAGCCAAUGCAAGAUCAACCUGCGGACCCAUGAGCCCAGAAGAAAUGCUUUUUUGAUC
rnacentral:lncRNA from 12 species